AACACCGCCCGUUCGGUCGAAUUGUUAUUCUAGUGUAGCAGUUAACGGCUAGUGAAAGUGUAGUUUAUUCUAAAGCUAACCAAAGUGCGAAUCACGUGACAUAUGUUGGGCGUGAACUCGUGUUCAUUCAGUAGGCAGUCAGUAAAGCACAAGGAAGGACGCAAAGCAAAGCAGCGAAGAAGGACACAAUGCCGGGAAGAAAGUCUGACAAGUCUAUGAUUGGUGAUCUGCACCUUCGUAACCCAAGUUUGUUCUGAUGUCUGCCAUCAUUCCAGCUGACUCUCACAGUGGUGGACUUUAUAACAGUACUCAGAAUGGGAACAAGAACAAUUACCUCAGUGAAAGCCAAGACAUUUUCAUUGUUCAACUAACCAAUGCUAAUUGUGUGACGAUUGUUGAGAGUGCAUGUUCAUUCAGCAGACAGUUGGUAAAAGACAAAAAAACGAACACAAAGCAAGGAAGGAAGGCUUGAGAGCAGAGACUUUCAUUAUUUCCAUGCAUGGAAACUGAAAUGAUGACGGUCCUUGUUUAGAGAUCCAGACACUUUGUUCCCAAGGUGAUGUGAAAUGAUGCGAAGUGUUGUGUAUGUCUUCUGCCUUCACUCUACUAGACCACUACUGCCUGGAUCUUCAGUAUCUUCAGUUAGUACUGGAACUGUGAUGACACUGAGGAAAUAUUCUACAAUCUUCAACAUGGUUACGGUUGAAUUGUGAUUUCCACAUAGCAAUUGCUGUACAGUGUAAUGCUAGCAUGUAUGUUUUUCUAAGCAAGCGACAAGGUGUGUCAAUGCGGAAGCUGUGCAUCUGGACAGGAUGAGAGUGGUUGUAUUCCAAUGGCUGUAAGCAUGAAAUCACCUGGCCUUGUGUGGAAGACAUCUAUGAACGGAUCAACCAGAUGUAUACCUCCAAUUUAAACUCCUGAAAAUCCCCAUGGUUGUGGGUGGUGCAGACAGAAUGUGAGCCAGGAAGUACAUCUGUAAAAGCCCAGACAUUCCAUAUGUAGGAGUAUCUUCAUUCUUCAAUUGCAUCUUAGCUAAGAAGUUAACUUGGAUCUGCUACAGAGAGUCAUUGAUGUUCAAGUUGGUAGGAUACAGUUUCCCGAUCAAAUGAAAUCGCUUUAUCUUAUCUGGCUGGAAUUUAAAGAGCUGAGACUACCAUCAGGAAAAUCUACCGUAUAAUAACACUAACCCAGAACACUGCUGCUGAGUCUACCACACAGUAACACUGACCCAGAACAUUGCUACUGAGUCUACCACACAGUAAUGCUGACUAGGAAAUUGCUAUUGAGUCUACCACACAGUAACACAAACCCAGAGCAUUGCUACUAUGUCAUCUAUGCAGUAACUGUGAUUCAGAACAUUGCUACUGAGUCUACCACACAGUAACACUGACCCAGAAUCUUGCUACUGAGUCUACCACACAGCAAUGUGGACUAGGACAUUGCUAUUAAGAGUUUCCAUGCAGUUACACUGACCCGAGUAGUCCACACAGGAAAAACACACAGUAAUGUUGACUUAGGAUGUUGCUGCCGAGUCUUCCAUACUAUUAUAAUGACACCAAAGUGUAGCUUUUCUAUGGAAAAUUCAGACAGAUAACUUCAGUUACCUGUCAAUAGGCGCAAUAAACUCUUUAUUAUCUGUUUAUGUUAACACUCCUGAUACUGAAGGCUGGACUCUGCUGAACACUGGAAAAAAAGUGGAGAUAAACAUGCAACUCACUGUGUGUGACAUUAGUGCAAAAAAAUUUCAGAUGUGACUGUGAGAUAUAGACAAAAUUAUUUUAAGUAACAUUCAAGUAAUUGUGUUCAAAGGUGGUAGUGAAAAUCCCUGAAUGUAACAUCAAAGUUCAGAUGACUGUGAAAGAAAGACAGUUAUACUUACUAGUAAAAAUCUACAAAAUUAGAUAUUAAAAUAAUGUUUAAAAGUGACAGUAGGUACAGUAAAAUGUGAAUAAUAUGUGUUUUGAUUGAUAAUGUCAAAUAAUAAAGUGUAACUAAUUGUACCAGUGUAUUUAUAU